UAUUUAUUUAUUUAUUUAGCAGAGUUUUAUCCAAGGCGACUUACAGAGACGAAUAUGGUGAAGAGAAAAGACAAGACUCUGAUGCUGUUUGCAAGUAGUGAAUCAUUGUUGUAGACACUGUAUCUAAGGUUUUUACUAUACUGCUUUUUACCAGCACAGUAGAUUGACAAUCUGGUUUCCCCUCCCUACACUUGUUGCUUCAUUGUGAUUGGCUACAAUGUACAGCGAGAGUGAAAACAUCUCUGUGGAGAUCGGCAAUGGAGCCUCAACAGAGAUGCUAUCGCUUCACUGCAGUGUGGACACCCCUAUUGAAAUACAGGGGUCACACACACGUUGCACAUGUGUCAAUCCAAUUUUAGACUGUGUGUUUAAUUUAACAAACAGAUGUUAUCAUGCUUAAUAAAUGAUUUGCUUCAUUUUCAUGCACGCAAGAUAUGUUCAUUUUUGUUGUUAUAGUGACAUAUCAGAAGGCGCGCAAGAAAGGGCAACAGAAACAUCCGAUAUGAACAAACACAGAAGCGGAAGUGUCCAACAACAACAGUAGCAUCACACAGCAGCAGCAGCAAGAACACCAGCAACAGUGAAGAUGGAAAUAUCAGCAGUGAUGACAGGAACUACAACAGCAACACCAGCAGCAAUGACACUGGAACUGGGAACAGGGACAGUGACAAGAGCAGCUAUCAGACAGGGAUAGGAUGAUCUUCACCAUUUUAGAAGAAAUCAAGGGCCAGGGGAGACAAAACACCCUGAUGCUUCAGGCACUUCUCAAGUGGCAGCCUCAGGUAGAGCAAGAGCAUGGCAGCCUGCGCUUGGAUGAAUUCCAGUUUUCUUUUGCCAUCAAGGAGGACAUUGACAGAGUGGAGAGGAUGUUAAUGGACCAAGCUACAGAAAAGGCACUGCUGCAGCCAAGAAGUCUUCUGUCACGGAGGCAGACACAGAGGCCAGGAUGAGGAGCUGGCUAAAGUACAGUGGAGACCGGGAUGGGGAGCGGAAGAGGAGGGCAGAAAAGAAAAAGGAUGCAGAGUCUGCAAAUGCUGCUACAAUUGCUGCUGCUAGUGCUGCCAGUGACAUUGAAGAAGAUUAAGAGAUUGUUUGAGCCAUCUUUUUGCAUUCUAGACAGAUAUUUGAACACAAAUAAGCUUAAUAAACACUGUUGAAUGUAAAGCUAGUUGUUUCUUUUUUCUUUCUUUCUCAAAUUCAAUUUGUUACAGCUUUGGGCAACGUCAUUCAUGUUGUAAUGUUGCACAUAUACUGUGCAUACAACCCCAGUAGUAUGCUGACGUU